GUAAGAGAUUAUUCUUUUAUACGUUUGACUCAAAGUUUGCUGAGGAACAAAUCCAGGCAAGUCCUGGGCAAAGGUAGAGAAAUCUUCUGUCUGGAGGACACUGCUGGACAGGUCCUGGGUAAGGGUUGUGAAAUCCUUUAAGGAGCACAGAUGGACAAGGCCAGGAGCAACAAGAGAGGGAUAAGCUGCUGAUAAUGGCUGGGAAACGGUCUUUUGUGUGGACUUAUCUCGAGGAAGAUGGCCAUCUCAGGAGGUAUGCCCAGGACUCUUGCUCAAGCACCCAGGAAUGUCACGUAGGCAGGAGAAAAUGGAGGAUAAAAGAGGGUCCAACAACCACGGCGAAGUAGAGGC
ensembl:lncRNA